UGCAAGAACACCAUUGGCAGCUAUGAAUGCAGUUGCCAAACAGGGUACACCAUCAACAGUACCAAUGCAUUCCUUUGUGAUGAGCUGAAUACCCUCACUUUAAGAAUCACUGUUCAAAAUGCAAAGAUAACACCGGAGAUCAAACAGAAGCUAAAGGAAGAAAUGGAAAUGUAUCUACAAUCCAUUAGAAAAGCAAUGAAUAACAGAUAAUUGACAGAAGACAGCGAAUCAGAUCUCCUGAAGUAUACUACUUUGUCUUAACCUGUUUUUUGCACUACAAGACACACAAGAAAAUAUUAUUUUGUUGGGUAAAAUCAUGUCAUAUUAAAUUAGACUCAUUUUCCCUUACCUCUGCUGCUUAAGGACGAUAAUCAUGUUAUGGAUUUAUUCACAUUAAUGGAACUGUCACUUCCUUAUAACCAUACUUCAUUGAUUAGCCAUAUGAAACUGUAAUAAGUAUUAAUAUUGCUAUUUCAAUUGCUGUUAAUAUUUCUUACAACUCACUUCAUAUGAUUUAAUCUUAGUGUUUCACAGUGCUUUGAAAAAAAAGGAUUCCAAAGACCCAGUCUUAGCUUGUAAGACAAUUUUAUCUUAUGAUCUAAAAUUGCACACAUAUUUGUGGAAAUUUGUUAAGUUCAAUCUUAAGCUGUAAGUGGUUAGUUUUAAAAAGUGUGGAAAAUUAGUCUCCAAAUUAAUACUGAAUUUAAGAAUUUUCCACAAUUCUGCACAAUCUUAUACUUAGGAUGAAAUUGGUUUACAGAUUUCACAGAUGAAAUUUCAGGGCUAUUUAGCAUAGAAAAUACGUCUUACUUUUCUAAAUAAGGCCUAUUUACAAAUAACAUCAGGAUUGGAUCAACACUCAAUUGGAGAUACCAAGGUGAUGUAGUGGAUAUCUUUAUAUGAGAUUUAUUGUCCUCAAUAUAACAGAUCAUACCAUAAAUCUUGGUGAUAGACUUGCUAAAUUGGAUGCAGCUGGUGACCUUGACAAACUUCCAUGAGAUGAUGAAUCAAAAAACAAAAUACUAGCUGUUCUCCCUUUCAUUGAUGCACAAAGAUUGAAUAAUGUUAUAGGUUGCAAAGUAAGAAAUUUCCAAUUCUGGAUGUGCCUAUUUCCAUCGUCAAUCUUAACUUCUGUAGUUGCUCUAUAAAGGAGGUUUAUUUUUGAGAGUUUAAAAUACUUCAUGGAAACAUAUGAGAGAUGCUUCAGAAAUACAAAGACAGACUAGGGGAUUAAAUAAAUUGGGGAUAAGUCUAAUUUCAAGCAUUUCUGGAAGCAAUUGAAAAAUAAUCUAAAAAUACAAUUUUUUAAAAAGUCCACGUGCAAUGUGGUUUUCUCUGCAAAGGAGAAAAUGAAGGAUAAUUUGAAUAUAUGUGAUAGAGUAGCUACUUUAAAUUUUUUUCAAGUUUUUAUAGUUUCCUUUCAAAUUCUGCUAUCAAUAGUGGUGUGUGCUAAAUCAUUCCAUGUUUUAAUUUAUACUUAUACAUAGAGUCACUACACUUUACAGUAAAACCCUUUGAAGUGCUUUGAGCCAUUGACGAUGUGAUAAGGUGGGAAAUGCAAGGACAUUUUUUAUUACUUAACGUGAUUUUACAGUAUCAGGAAGAAGCUUUUGCUCUAUGGUAACUCAUCAAUACUCUUGAUUUACCAUUGUUCAUGUUAACACACUGGAAUGCUAGAAUAUCUGGUGUUACUACUGGAUGAUAACUUGAUGCACUCAUUGAAAAUUAAGCUUACCAGGUGCUUUAACAAAUAGCUGUGCAAAAGUCAUUUCCAGAGUGCAGAAAAAUUGCAGUUGCAGUAUUUUGCUUGUGUCACUAGAGCAUUCAUAUUCACAAAGUCGUCAUGUCCAAAUUCUCUGCCUUUGCUAAAAAAUUCCAUGAAUCCAAUAGAAUGGAUGGGUACCUCUUGGGCACAAUGGCUAUGGACUGAUCCCUGGCUCCUUAUCCCUGUGCCAAACCCACAGACCUAGGUCAAAGAGCAGUCCAAGGUUAUCCUUGUGCACAUGUGAAUUGUCAUUGAGGAUGUAUGUUUUGAAACAAUGGGAAGCCAUUUGCUGUAACAUCUGAGAAAACCAUAUUGUGGUGUCAUCAUCUCUACUGUUACACAACAUUGCAAUAGGAGAUACGUUCCAAGCCCUGGCAAGUAUAUCAGAAGCUAGUGGGACAGGUGGAAGUGGGGCAUGAAGCAGUCUUGAUAAGAAGUAUAACAACAAUUCCACAGGCAUGGCUGCAGGAUAAUACCUGAUCAACAAUACCUUAACCAUUGAGCAACAGCUAUAGCAAAACAGCACUUUGUUUGUUGACCAAUUACUUAAAGAUUGUGGAAGGUUUAUUUUAUUGCUAUUUCCCUCUGCUUGUAAACUUGGUUAAAAAUUCAUAUAUGAUUGUAGAAGAAAAACAUUUGAACAGUCAACAACAAAAA